GCCGUCAUAGUUCAGUUGGUAGAACAGCCGCCUUGUAAGCGGACGGUCACGGGUUCGAGUCCUGUUGACGGCU
rnacentral:tRNA from 1 species